GUCUUUUUAGUAUAAUUAGUAUAAAUGAUUUCCAAUCAUUUGAUCUUGGUUAAAACCUAAGAAAAGACA
rnacentral:tRNA from 1 species